rnacentral:lncRNA from 1 species
ACUGAUUAAAAUACUACAAUAGGAAACAAUGUGAUAGAAUUUAGUAUUGUCAACCUUGUGAUUAUGACCCUUGUAUAUAUAGCAAAUCCUAAAUACACCGUUUGGUGGUGUGCCUGUCAGAUGCAGAACGUACAGAUAAGGUAUAGGUAAAAGGUGAAUAUACUAUUGGUAUUGGUAUUGGAACUUGUUAAUUAUUUACAAUAUUAAUUAUGUGGAAAACAAAAGGGUCUGGAGUGGUGUAACUUUUAAUCAACACCAUUGUCCUAUAUUAGCUAUAUAUAAAGUUGAAUUCUUUGAUUUGUCGUUUUUAUCCCAUGCCGGCUGACAAAUUGGACCUCAUUAUUUUAGUAUUAUAGAUAUCAGCAUAACAAAAAAUGAAACAUCUGAGUGGAUUGAGUCUCCAAAACACAUUUUAUGAGAAUUAUUUUACUUGAAAUUGAUUUUGUUUUUUGUUUGUUUUUUUUUUUUUGGGGGGGGGGGCUGGAGGGGGGUGCUUUUUCUCCUUAUUUCUUAUAUUCUGCUAUGAUAGAACAUUUUCCUAGGAAAUACUUAAAUAAAUAUAUGUUUAUAAGUUAAUGAAAUUAUUUUUAAUGCUGUAACGACAAAUUAUUCUUUAAAAGAGAAGCCUUUUAUGUCCCUCUCUGGAAUGCUGCGUAAAUUUAAUUUUGACGUAAGGACUUAUUGAAACCUCCUUGGAGACAGUUAACUUAUAUAUGGAUUGUUCAUUCUGCUUAAAUACUUCAGUUACUCAUUUCUGAUAACAUUUCUAUCAUAAAUGAGUGAAAGUUACCCCAUUAUUUUUACUUAUUGACCUGAAAAGUUAAAAUUUUAAGGAAAUUAGAGGUAUAAAUUGACCAAAAGAGACCUUAUAAAGGAGACAAUGAGGUCCAUAAGUGGUAUUUAUCUUCCUAAAAUCAUCUUAAGUAUCAUAUUCAACUGUUUGUAGGCAGAUAAGAUAAAUAUUUGAUCAUUUAUUGGUCCACACUAUAUUUUAUCUUGAUGCGGCUUGGUUUGGAUUUGUCGAAGAAAUUUUGCUUGAAUCGCUGUAGAUGUCGUCUUUCAUUAUGCUAGAUUUUUCUCAAACUAUUGAACUCUGGUUAUGACAAAACUUAACAGAAAUGCUUGAAAUAACCAGUAUUACAAAGGAAAAAAGUCACAUUCAGUUUAUUAAACAAUAAUCAGAUAAUGUCUUCUUUAAAUUUAGUCCUAUAACAAUUCUUCCUUUUUUACAUCUUCAUUCCAGGCAGGGAUAGGGGAAACCAACAAUCAUUUUUGCAUGGCCUGAUCUGGACGAAUAGAAAAUAGGGAUUGUAUGCAAGUAAAGCUUAGAUUUAUGUAAAAAAAAAUAGAGACUUUUACUUAGUUUGAUCUAUUACAGAUUUUCAUUGUGAUUAAGUCACUAAUACAAGUAUGAUAUGUUCAUGCCAGCAUAAUCAUUUGUUGUUUACAAAGAGUCCUACACAACUUUAAUUUGAAUACAAUCAAAAGUCAAGAACAC